rnacentral:rRNA from 1 species
ACGAGUUUGAUCCUGGCUCAGAUUGAACGCUGGCGGCAUGCCUUACACAUGCAAGUCGAGCGGGUUUUCGGACCUAGCGGCGGACGGGUGAGUAAUGCGUAGGAAGCUACCGAUAGAGGGGGAUACCAGUUGGAAACGACUGUUAAUACCGCAUAAUGUCUACGGACCAAAGUGUGGGACCUUCGGGCCACAUGCUAUCGGAUGCGCCUACGUGGGAUUAGCUAGUUGGUGAGGUAAUGGCUCACCAAGGCGACGAUCUCUAGCUGGUUUGAGAGGAUGAUCAGCCACACUGGAACUGAGACACGGUCCAGACUCCUACGGGAGGCAGCAGUGGGGAAUCUUAGACAAUGGGCGCAGGCCUGAUCUAGCCAUGCCGCGUGAGCGAUGAAGGCCUUAGGGUUGUAAAGCUCUUUCAGAUGGGAAGAUAAUGACGGUACCAUCAGAAGAAGCCCCGGCUAACUCCGUG